UACGUAGGGUGCGAGCGUUGUCCGGAAUUACUGGGCGUAAAGAGCUCGUAGGUGGUUUGUCGCGUUGUCCGUGAAAACUCACAACUCAAUUGUGGGCGUGCGGGCGAUACGGGCAGACUGGAGUACUGCAGGGGAGACUGGAAUUCCUGGUGUAGCGGUGGAAUGCGCAGAUAUCAGGAGGAACACCGGUGGCGAAGGCGGGUCUCUGGGCCGAUACUGACGCUCAUGUGCGAAAGCGUGGGGAGCAAACAGG
rnacentral:rRNA from 1 species